rnacentral:misc_RNA from 1 species
GGGAGUAAAAGUCGUAACAAGGUUUCCGUAGGUGAACCUGCGGAAGGAUCAUUCAUAAUAAAGUGUUUUAUGGCACUUUUUAAAAAUCCAUAUCCACCUUGUGUGCAAUGUUAGAUCUCGUCAAUCUUGGCGAGAUUUUUAUACAUCAACUCAUUCUUUAACUAAUUUGUCUGAAAAGUAUUAUGAAUACUUAACUCAAAAUACAACUUUCAACAACGGAUCCCUUGGCUCUC